UACGGAAGGCAGCAGUGGGGAAUAUUGCACAAUGGGCGAAAGCCUGAUGCAGCUAUGCCGCGUGUAUGAAGAAGGCCUUAGGGUUGUAAAGUACUUUCAUCGGGGAGGAAAAAACAAAACUAAUAAUUUUAUUUCUUGACGUUACCCGAAAAAGAAGCACCGGCUAACUCCGUGCCAGCAGCCGCGGUAAUACGGAGGGUGCUAGCGUUAAUCAGAAUUACUGGGCGUAAAGAGCACGUAGGUGGUUUUUUUAAGUCAGAUGUGAAAUCCCUGGGCUUAACCUAGGAACUGCAUUUUGAAACUGAAAUACUAGAGUAUCGUAGGGGGAGGUAGAAUUCUAGGUGUAGCGGUGAAAUGCGUAGAUAUCUGGAGGAAUACCUGUGGCGAAAGCGGCCUCCUAAACGAAUACUGACACUGAGGGUGCGAAAGCGUGGGGAGCAAACAGGGAUUAGAUACC
rnacentral:rRNA from 1 species